rnacentral:rRNA from 1 species
UACAGAGGUCUCAAGCGUUGUUCGGAUUCAUUGGGCGUAAAGGGUGCGUAGGCGGCGCGGUAAGUCGGGGUGUGAAAUCUUGGAGCUUAACUCCGAAACUGCAUUCGAUACUGCCGUGCUUGAGGACUGGAGAGGAGACUGGAAUUUACGGUGUAGCGGUGAAAUGCGUAGAUAUCGUAAGGAAGACCAGUGGCGAAGGCGGGGUCUCUGGACAGUUCCUGACGCUGAGGCACGAAGGCCAGGGG